GGUGCUAACGUCCGGACUCAAAAGGGAAACAACCCAGACCGCCGGCUAAGGUCCCUAAUAUUUGCUAAGUGGAAAACGAAGUGGAAAGGCUAAGACAGUCAGGAAGUUGGCUUAGAAGCAGCCAUCCUUUAAAGAAAGCGUAAUAGCUCACUGAUCGAGUCUUUCUGCGCGGAAGAUGUAACGGGGCUAAGCAAGUAACCGAAGCCGCGGAUUCAUACGUAAGUAUGAGUGGUAGGGGAGCGUUCUGUAAGCCUGCGAAGGUGUGUUGAGAAGCAUGCUGGAGGUAUCAGAAGUGCGAAUGCUGACAUGAGUAACGUUAAAGCGGGUGAAAAGCCCGCUCGCCGUAAGCCCAAGGUUUCCUGCUCUACGUUCAUCGGAGCAGGGUGAGUCGGCCCCUAAGGCCAGGCUGAGAAGCGUAGUCGAUGGGAACAAGGUUAAUAUUCCUAGACCAUUGUCAAGUAUGCGAUGGGGGGACGGAGUGUGAAAGAUGAUCCGGGUGUUGGAUAUCCCGGUUUGUGAGAGUAGAAGGAAGGCAGGCAAAUCCGCCUUCGGAUCUUCGAGUCAAAACAUCGAUUCUCCACGAGAGAAGAAGUCAUCGGAAGUGCUUCCAAGAAAAGCCUCUAAGUGGUAGCUUGACAAGACCGUACCGCAAACCGACACUGGUGGGCGAGUUGAAUAUACUAAGGCGCUUGAGAGAACUCGGGAGAAGGAACUCGGCAAAUUGACACCGUAACUUCGGAAGAAGGUGUGCCUUUGUAGCGUGAGAGAAGAAACAUCUUAAGCGUGAAGAGGCCUCAGAGAAUAGGUGGCUGCAACUGUUUACUAAAAACAUAGCACUCUGCAAAGAUGAAAGUCGACGUAUAGGGUGUGAUGCCUGCCCGGUGCUGGAAGAUUAAUUGAUGGGGUGCAAGCUCCUGAUCGAAGUCCCAGUAAACGGCGGCCGUAACUAUAACGGUCCUAAGGUAGCGAAAUUCCUUGUCGGGUAAGUUCCGACCUGCACGAAUGGCAUAAUGAUGGCCACACUGUCUCCUCCCGAGACUCAGUGAAGUUGAAGUGUUUGUGAUGAUGCAAUCUCCCCGCGGCUAGACGGAAAGACCCCAUGAACCUUUACUGUAGCUUUACAUUGGACUGUGAACCGAUUUGUGUAGGAUAGGUGGGAGGCAGUGAAACUCGGACGCCAGUUUGAGCGGAGCCAUCCUUGAAAUACCACCCUGAUUUGUUUGCGGUUCUAACCUCGGCCCAUGAUCUGGGCUAGGGACCGUGUAUGGUAGGCAGUUUGACUGGGGCGGUCUCCUCCUAAAGGGUAACGGAGGAGUGCGAAGGUACGCUAGGUACGGUCGGAAAUCGUGCUGAUAGUGCAAUGGCAUAAGCGUGCUUGACUGCGAGACCAACAAGUCGAGCAGAUGCGAAAGCAGGUCAUAGUGAUCCGGUGGCUCUGUAUGGAAGGGCCAUCGCUCAACGGAUAAAAGGUACUCUGGGGAUAACAGGCUGAUACCGCCCAAGAGUUCAUAUCGACGGCGGUGUUUGGCACCUCGAUGUCGGCUCAUCUCAUCCUGGGGCUGUAGUCGGUCCCAAGGGUAUGGCUGUUCGCCAUUUAAAGAGGUACGUGAGCUGGGUUUAAAACGUCGUGAGACAGUUUGGUCCCUAUCUGCCGUGGGCGCUGGAAGAUUGACGGGGGCUGCUCCUAGUACGAGAGGACCGGAGUGGACGGACCGCUGGUGUACCGGUUGUGAUGCCAAUCGCAUUGCCGGGUAGCUAUGUCCGGAAGGGAUAACCGCUGAAAGCAUCUAAGCGGGAAACCUGCCUGAAGAUAAGUCUUCCCGGAGGCUAGACCUCCUUGAAGAGUCGUUCGAGACCAGGACGUUGAUAGGUCAGGUGUGGAAGCGUUGUGAGACGUUAAGCUAACUGAUACUAAUUGCUCGUAAGGCUUGAUCCU
rnacentral:rRNA from 1 species